rnacentral:rRNA from 1 species
UACAAUGCACGGAAGUGCGAUAAGGGAAACCUAAGUGCUUGCCUACGGGUGAGCUUUUGUCAAGUGUAAAAAUCUUGACGAAUAAGUGGUGGGUAAGACCGGUGCCAGCAGCCGCGGUAACCCCGGCGCCACGAGUGGUAAUCAUUUUUAUUGGGCCUAAAGCGUCCGUAGCCGAUCUAUUCAGUCCUUUGUUAAAUCGUUCAGCUUAACUGAGCGGCUGCAAGGGAUACUAGUAGGUUCGGGAUCGGGAGGAGUCAGAAGUACUCUUUGGGUAGCGGUAAAAUGUUAUAAUCCUUAGAGGACUACCUGUGGCGAAGGCGUCUGACUAGAACGAAUCCGACGGUGAGGGACGAAAGCUAGGGGAGCAAAAGGGAUUAGAUACCCCCGUAGUCCUAGCUGUAAACUCUGCGAACUAUGUGUUGCAUAUUCUUCAAGGAUAUGCAGUGCCGGAGCGAAGGUGUUAAGUUCGCCGCCUGGGAAGUACGGUCGCAAGACUGAAACUUAAAGGAAUUGGCGGGGGCGCGCUACAAGGAGUGGAACGUGCGGUUUAAUCAGAUUUUACACCGUGAACCUCACCAGGAACGACGGCAGGAUGAAGGUCAGAUUAAAGGUUUUACCUGACAAGCCGAGAAGAAGUGCAUGGCC